rnacentral:rRNA from 1 species
AUGGCGACCAUCUCCGCAGCUCUCUCCAUCUCCCUCCUCCCGCCCGCGGCCCGCCGCGCCGUCUCCACCGCCACCUCCUCCCCGCCGCGCGUCAAGAGAGCCGCGCGGUUCAGGUGCUGCGCAGAACCUCCUUCCCCGGAACAGCAGGAGACCUCCGCGCCUUCGCCCCCUCCUCCGGCGCCGCCUUCGUCCCUGUGGGGCGUCUCCACAAGCGCCUGGACGGCGGGCGUCGCGGGGCUGGGGCUCCUGGAGACCGGCUACCUCAGCUACCUCAAGCUCACGGGCUCCGAGGCCUUCUGCCCCGUCGCCGGGGGAGGCUGCGGCGACGUGCUCGACAGCGACUACUCCGUCGUCUUCGGGAUCCCUCUUCCAUUAGUUGGUAUGGUGACAUAUGGUGUGGUGACUGCACUUUCUCUACAAGAAAACGGAGAGGAGUUACUCCCUGGACUCGAUGACUUGGAUAUCCGCCUAACCUUGCUUCUGCUUGCUACUUCACUGGCGACUGCGAGUGCUUAUUUUCUCUUCAUCCUGAAUACCAAAUUUGUCGGGACUUCUUGCUUAUACUGCCUGUCGUCAGCAUUUAUCUCCUUCACAUUAUUUUUCAUCAGACUGAAGGACAUUGGCUUGGCACGUAUCCAGAAGUUUGUUGGUCUUCAGUUAGCUGUAGCUGUCAUUGUUGCUCUUGCUUUAACAAACUCAUAUAGUUCGGCUACUACUCAGUUAAAGGGUACAGGUGAUUUCGUAUUAGAACCAUACAAAACAGAGGUAACAUCAGAAUCAACCCCUUUUGCUAUUUCACUGGCAAGACAUCUACAUUCUAUAGGUGCUAAGAUGUAUGGAGCAUUCUGGUGUACUCACUGCAAUGACCAAAAACAAUUGUUUGGUCGUGAAGCUAUGGAAAUUCUGGAUUAUGUGGAAUGCUUCCCUAAUGGAGCCGGUAAGGGGAAGAAAAUGGCCAACGAAUGUGUGGCCACUGGUCUGGAAGGUUUUCCAACAUGGGUCAUCAACGGGAAGCUCCUGAGCGGCGACCAGGAACUCUCAGUCCUCGCAGAAGAAUCCGGUUUUGUCUCCGAGAGCCCCGAGCAAUCCUGA